UUAAUUGAAGCCAAAAAAAGAGGCAUAUCACUGUUAAUGAUAUAAUUGAGAUUUAAAUUUCCAAUUAAG
rnacentral:tRNA from 1 species